GACAAAUUCCUUGACCCGAGGAGGAUAGGGAUGUGGCCUUCGGUCUUUCCUCGCAGCUCCGGGGCAAGCUAGGGGUGGGAUGGAAGUCGAGAGUCGAUCCCGGAGCCCGGCCGCGGGGAGAGGUUCUCGGCAGAGAAGACAAAGCCCGCAGCAGCGAUGGGGGGAGAGCUGGGCUCUGCGCCUUGUGGGGGCCAGGAAAGGGUGCCAGGCUGGGGCUGGAACUCCCUGGCAAAGGAUGGGGUCCCCUCAUCCCUAAACAGCAAGCCAUCUCCCCUCGCCCGCCCCCCGCCCCCCCAGUCUCGGAGAUCUCAGAGGCACCGACUGGGAGCAAUACCAAGAAGGAGGGUGACCUGAUAGCUGCUCAGGCUCGGCUGAAGGACCUGGAGGCUCUGCUGAACUCCAAGGAGGCCGCACUGAGCACUGCUCUCAGUGAGAAGCGCACGCUGGAGGGCGAGCUGCAUGAUCUGCGGGGCCAGGUGGCCAAGCUUGAGGCAGCCCUAGGUGAGGCCAAGAAGCAACUUCAGGAUGAGAUGCUGCGGCGGGUGGAUGCUGAGAACAGGCUGCAGACCA
rnacentral:sRNA from 1 species